AUUGAACGCUGGCGGCAGGCCUAACACAUGCAAGUCGAACGAGUGGCGGACGGGUGAGUCAUGCUUAGGACUCUAGCAUAUGGAGGGGGAUAACUACGGGAAACGGUAGCUAAUACCGCGUACCAUAGGAUGAGCCCAAGUGGGAUUAGGUAGUUGGUGGGGUAAAGGCUAACCAAGCCCACGAUCACUAGCUGGUCUGAGAGGAUGACCAGCCACACUGGAACUGAGACACGGCCCAGACUCCUACGGGAGGCAGCAGUGGGGAAUAUUGCGCAAUGGGCGAAACCUGACGCAGCCAUGCCGCGUGAAUGAAGAAGGCCUUCGGGUUGUAAAGGUCUUUCGGUAGCGAGGCGUUACCUACAGAAGAAGCACCGGCUAACUCCGUGCCAGCAGCCGCGGUAAUAC
rnacentral:rRNA from 1 species